GACACCCAAAGCCCAGAGCCUGCGCGCUGAAAUGCCUGGUAAACGCUGUCCUAAAUGAGGGUCUAACUGCAGCGUGACGAGGCGUCUCGUGCGUGUUAAGGACAAAGCCCUCCUGGAACUAAGCGUCAUAGGCGUCCACCGAAGUCGGAACUUUUAUGAGCAGAGCCCGGCCGGCCACAAUCGCCAUCUGGGAACAUCUUCCUGACGUAGACUGGCUGGCUUGGUGGGGGAGGCGCAGAUCAGGAGGACCGAUGCCGGCUGUCCGAGCACCUCUGCAGACGUCUGCUCACCUCGUGCAGCCCUGGAGCUCUCCGUGGUACAUCCCACAAGGGUGCCAGGGGGUCCCUGGGUGCCCUGAGCCAGGUGCCCUCUGCGUGAGGGCCCCCUGCUCCUCUGGGGCUGGCGUCAGGGGCUUUCUGGGCCCCAGUCAGGAAUCAAGGAAGGAAUCUGGCCCUGGAGACA